GACGUAGGGCGCAAGCGUUGUCCGGAUUUAUUGGGCGUAAAGAGCUCGUAGGCGGCUGGUCGCGUCGACUGUGAAAACCCGCAGCUCAACUGUGUGGUCUGCAGUCGAUACGGGCUGGCUGGAGUUCGGUAGGGGAGACUGGAAUUCCUGGUGUAGCGGUGAAAUGCGGCAGAUAUCAAGGAGGAACACCGGGUGGCGAAGGCGGGGU
rnacentral:rRNA from 1 species